GCGGUAGAGAGAAGCUUGCUUCUCUUGAGAGCGGCGGACGGGUGAGUAAUACCUAGGAAUCUGCCUGAUAGUGGGGGAUAACGUUCGGAAACGGACGCUAAUACCGCAUACGUCCUACGGGAGAAAGCAGGGGACCUUCGGGCCUUGCGCUAUCAGAUGAGCCUAGGUCGGAUUAGCUAGUUGGUGAGGUAAUGGCUCACCAAGGCUACGAUCCGUAACUGGUCUGAGAGGAUGAUCAGUCACACUGGAACUGAGACACGGUCCAGACUCCUACGGGAGGCAGCAGAGGGGAAUAUUGGACAAUGGGCGAAAGCCUGAUCCAGCCAUGCCGCGUGUGUGAAGAAGGUCUUCGGAUUGUAAAGCACCUUAAGUUGGGAGGAAGGGCAGUUACCUAAUACGUGACUGUCUUGACGUUACCGACAGAAUAAGCACCGGCUAACUCUGUGCCAGCAGCCGCGGUAAUACAGAGGGUGCAAGCGUUAAUCGGAAUUACUGGGCGUAAAGCGCGCGUAGGUGGUCUGUUAAGUUGAAUGUGAAAUCCCCGGGCUCAACCUGGGAACUGCAUCCAAAACUGGCAAGCUAGAGUAUGGUAGAGGGUAGUGGAAUUUCCUGUGUAGCGGUGAAAUGCGUAGAUAUAGGAAGGAACACCAGUGGCGAAGGCGACU
rnacentral:rRNA from 1 species